UCCUUCUCUUUCCCUUCUCUCUUUCUUCGUUGCCUUCCCUCUCCUUUUUAUUCUUUUCUGUAAUGGUAGCUUCGGAAACCAUGGAAGGCAGCCACAUGUUGUAGAACAAAGAGAAAUCAACCUUGGGUUGUGGACUAAUGGAUCAACGGCAACGACAGACCUCCAACCCAGAUCUCCGACGUGAGAUUUCAGAUCUUGUACUUCAACCAUGGAAGGCAGCGACAGAGACUGGAAGAUGGAUAGGAGAAGGUGACCUACGGGAGGAAACAAGAAGAGUGAUGGGAAGGCAGUGGGGAGAUGGCUUGGAGAAGAGAUCGGAGGUGACCUACGAGAAGGCAUUUGGGCUACGGAGACAAGGUGUUCGAUGACUAGGAGGAUCGAAAGAUUGCUUUGACUAAGAUAGUGAUUUGUGUUGUUGAAAGAUUUGGGUUUUUACUUUUCAAAUAUGGUUUUUGUUUAUGGAUUUUUGGAUUUGAAUUUUUGUAUUUUGAUUGUAUUUUGGUGAAAUUGUAGAUUUUUCAACCCAUUGUAUGCUUAGAAUUGUGAGAUUUUGAAAUGAAAUCUAUAUAUUGA